rnacentral:rRNA from 1 species
UUGAACGCUGGCGGCAGGCCUAACACAUGCCAGUCGAGCGGAUGAAGGGAGCUUGCUCCUGGAUUCAGCGGCGGACGGGUGAGUAAUGCCUAGGAAUCUGCCUGGUAGUGGGGGAUAACGUCCGGAAACGGGCGCUAAUACCGCAUACGUCCUGAGGGAGAAAGUGGGGGAUCUUCGGACCUCACGCUAUCAGAUGAGCCUAGGUCGGAUUAGCUAGUUGGUGGGGUAAAGGCCUACCAAGGCGACGAUCCGUAACUGGUCUGAGAGGAUGAUCAGUCACACUGGAACUGAGACACGGUCCAGACUCCUACGGGAGGCAGCAGUGGGGAAUAUUGGACAAUGGGCGAAAGCCUGAUCCAGCCAUGCCGCGUGUGUGAAGAAGGUCUUCGGAUUGUAAAGCACUUUAAGUCGGGAGGAAGGGCAGUAAGUUAAUACCUUGCUGUUUUGACGUUACCAACAGAAUAAGCACCGGCUAACUUCGUG